CCUACGGGUGGCAGCAGUGCGGAAUAUUGGUCAAUGGACGAGAGUCUGAACCAGCCAAGUAGCGUGAAUGAUGACUGCCCUAUGGGUUGUAAACUUCUUUUAUAUGGGAAUAAAAUGUUCCACGUGUGGGCUUUUGUAUGUACCAUAUGAAUAAGAAUCGGCUAACUCCGUGCCAGCAGCCGCGGUAAUACGGAGGAUCCGAGCGUUAUCAGGAUUUAUUGGGUUUAACGGGAGCGUAGGUGGAUUGUUAAGUCAGUUGUGAAAGUUUGUGGCUCAACCGUAAAAUUUUAGGUGAUACUGGCAGUCUUGAGUACAGUAGAGGUGGGCGGAAUUCGUGGUGUAGCGGUGAAAUGCGUAGAUAUCACGAAGAACUCCGAUUGCGAAGGCAGCUCACUGGACUGCAACUGACACUGAGGCUCGAAAGUGUGGGUAUCAAACAGGAUUAGAUACCCUAGUAGUC
rnacentral:rRNA from 1 species